rnacentral:rRNA from 1 species
GAACGCGAAGAACCUUACCUGGGCUUGACAUCCCGAUCGCAUCCCAUGGAAACAUGGGAGUCAGUUCGGCUGGAUCGGUGACAGGUGCUGCAUGGCUGUCGUCAGCUCGUGUCGUGAGAUGUUGGGUUAAGUCCCGCAACGAGCGCAACCCUUGUCCUUAGUUGCCAGCAUUCAGUUGGGCACUCUAAGGAGACUGCCGGUGUUAAACCGGAGGAAGGUGGGGAUGACGUCAAGUCCUCAUGGCCCUUAUGUCCAGGGCUACACACGUGCUACAAUGGCCGGUACAAAGGGCUGCAAGANCCGUGAGGUUGAGCGAAUCCCAGAAAGCCGGUCUCAGUUCGGAUUGGAGUCUGCAACUCGACUCCAUGAAGUUGGAAUCGCUAGUAAUCGCGGAUCAGCAUGCCGCGGUG